rnacentral:rRNA from 1 species
AGUGAACGCUGGCGGUAGGCCUAACACAUGCAAGUCGAACGGCAGCACAGGAGAGCUUGCUCUCUGGGUGGCGAGUGGCGGACGGGUGAGGAAUACAUCGGAAUCUACUCUGUCGUGGGAGAUAACGUAGGGAAACUUACGCUAAUACCGCAUACGACCUACGGGUGAAAGCAGGGGAUCUUCGGACCUUGCGCGAUUGAAUGAGCCGAUGUCGGAUUAGCCAGUUGGCGGGGUAAAGGCCCACCAAGGCGACGAUCCGUAGCUGGUCUGAGAGGAUGAUCAGCCACACUGGAACUGAGACACGGUCCAGACUCCUACGGGAGGCAGCAGUGGGGAAUAUUGGACAAUGGGCGCAAGCCUGAUCCAGCCAUACCGCGUGGGUGAAGAAGGCCUUCGGGUUGUAAAGCCCUUUUGUUGGGAAAGAAAUCCAGCUGGCUAAUACCCGGUUGGGAUGACGGUACCCAAAGAAUAAGCACCGGCUAACUUCGUGCCAGCCGCCGCCGUAA